GGGAGUUUGAUCCUGGCUCAGAAUCAACGCUGGCGGCGUGCCUCAGACAUGCAAGUCGAACGCGAAAGCCUCCUUCGGGGGGCAAGUAGAGUGGCGCACGGGUGAGUAACACGUAGGUAAUCUACCUUCGGAUGGGGAAUAACAACCGGAAACGGUUGCUAAUACCGCAUAAUGCAGCGGCACCUAAUGGUGACAGUUGUUAAAGCGGGGGAUCGCAAGACCUCGCGUCUGAAGAGGAGCCUGCGGCAGAUUAGCUAGUUGGUAAGGUAACGGCUUACCAAGGCGAUGAUCUGUAGCCGGCCUGAGAGGGCGGUCGGCCACACUGACACUGACAUACGGGUCAGACUCCUACGGGAGGCAGCAGUCGGGAAUUUUGGGCAAUGGGCGAAAGCCUGACCCAGCAACGCCGCGUGAAGGAUGAAAUCCCUCGGGAUGUAAACUUCGCAAGAACGGGAAGAAUAAGCCGGUGUGAACACCACCGGCGAUGACGGUACUGUUUGUAAGCUCCGGCUAACUCCGUGCCAGCAGCCGCGGUAAUACGGGGGGAGCAAGCGUUGUUCGGAUUUACUGGGCGUAAAGGGCGCGUAGGCGGCCACCGCAAGUCGACUGUGAAAUCUCCGGGCUUAACCCGGAACGGUCAGCCGAUACUGCGGGGCUAGAGUGCAGAAGGGGCAACUGGAAUUCUCGGUGUAGCGGUGAAAUGCGUAGAUAUCGAGAGGAACACCUGCGGCGAAGGCGGGUUGCUGGGCUGACACUGACGCUGAGGUGCGAAAGCUAGGGGAGCGAACGGGAUUAGAUACCCCGGUAGUCCUAGCCUUAAACGAUGAAUGCUUGGUGUCUGGGGUUUUAUAGUCCCCGGGUGCCGUCGCUAACGCUUUAAGCAUUCCGCCUGGGGAGUACGGUCGCAAGACUGAAACUCAAAGGAAUUGACGGGGACCCGCACAAGCGGUGGAACAUGGUGGUUUGAUUCGACGCACCCCGAAGAACCUUACCUGGGCUAGAAUGCCUCUGACCGGCGUAAAAAUACCCCCUUCCUGGGGUAAAACCCGGCAAAAAUGCAAGGUGCUCCCUGGCUUGUCUCAACUCCGGGUCCCGAAAAAGUUGGGGUUAAUUCUCCCCACCAAAGGGCAACCCUUAUUAAUAAUUUGCCACACGGUUCGCCCGCGCACCUCUUUUUAGAAAGCCCUGGCACAAACCGCGGAGAAGGGGGGGGGAGGAAACCACCAAUCUCUCUUGGGCGCCC
rnacentral:rRNA from 1 species